rnacentral:rRNA from 1 species
AACGAACGCUGGCGGUGUGCUUAACACAUGCAAGUCGAACGAGAAAGUUUCCUUCGGGAAGCGAGUAAAGUGGCGCAAGGGUGAGUAACACGUGAAUAAUCUGCCCUCGAGACUGGGAUAACCUGGUGAAAACUAGGCUAAUACCGGAUAAGACCACGUCCCGCAAGGGAUGCGGGAAAAGGAGGCUCAACCUCCACUUGUGGAUGAGUUCGCGGACCAUUAGCUUGUUGGUGAGAUAACAGCUCACCAAGGCUACGAUGGAUAGCCGGCCUGAGAGGGUGAACGGCCACACUGGAACUGAGACACGGCCCAAAACUCCUACGGGAGGCAGCAGUAGGGAAUCUUGCACAAUGGAGGAAACUCUGAUGCAGCGAUGCCGCGUGAGUGAAG